GUGGAUUUUGUUCAGGCUUGUCAGGUCUGCACGCAAUGUAAGUCCCCUAAUAUGAGAUCCCAGGGUUUUCUGAUGCCUCUAUCUAUACCCAAGAAACCAUGGACCCACUUAUCCAUGGAUUUCAUUGUAGACCUGCCUCUUUCUGAUGGUCAGACGGUGAUACUGACUGUGACGGAUAGGUUCUCUAAAAUGGCGCACUUCAUUCGGCUUAAGAAACUGCCUUCUGCAGUUCAGUUAGCUCAGGUAUUUGCCAAAGAAGUGUUCCGAUUGCAUGGGGUACCCCAGGAUAUCGUAUCUGACAGGGGUCCUCAAUUUGUCUCUCGGUUCUGGAGGGGCUUUUGUGCUGAGAUGGGGGUAUCCUUGUCGUUUUCUUCCUCCUAUCACCCGCAAUCUAAUGGUGCGGCCGAACGUGCUAAUCAG